rnacentral:tRNA from 1 species
UGGGGGAUCGUCUAGUGGUAGGACAGCGGACUCUGACUCCGUUAACCUAGGUUCGAAUCCUAGUUCCCCAGCCA